rnacentral:tRNA from 1 species
CCCUAUGGCUCAGUUGGUAGAGCACGGUGUUUGCAACGCCAGGGUUGUGGGUUCGAUUCCCACGUGGGGC